AAAGUUCUUCCUGUGUUUAGUUGAAAUCUUCUAUUGUGUAACUUGAAGUCAUUGGUUCGAAUCCUACUCUUCAGAGCCGGAGAAAACAAGUUUGCUCCAUCUUCCACAUGACAGUCCUUAAGAUAUUUGAAGAUGGCUAUCAUAUCUCCUCUCUGUCUCCUCUUUUCCAGGAUAAGCAUACCCAGUUCCUUCAA